rnacentral:rRNA from 1 species
GACGAACGCUGGCGGCGUGCUUAACACAUGCAAGUCGAACGGAAAGGCCCUGCUUUUGUGGGGUGCUCGAGUGGCGAACGGGUGAGUAACACGUGAGUAACCUGCCCUUGACUUUGGGAUAACUUCAGGAAACUGGGGCUAAUACCGGAUAGGAGCUCCUGCUGCAUGGUGGGGGUUGGAAAGUUUCGGCGGUUGGGGAUGGACUCGCGGCUUAUCAGCUUGUUGGUGGGGUAGUGGCUUACCAAGGCCUUGACGGGUAGCCGGCCUGCGAGGGUGACCGGCCACAUUGGGACUGAGAUACGGCCCAGACUCCUACGGGAGGCAGCAGUGGGGAAUAUAGCACAAUGGGCGGAAGCCUGAUGCAGCAACGCCGCGUGCGGGAUGACGGCCUUCGGGUUGUAAACCGCUUUCGCCUGUGACGAAGCGUGAGUGACGGUAAUGGGUAAAGAAGCACCGGCUAACUACGUG